CACGUAGGGGGCGAGCGUUGUCCGGAUUUAUUGGGCGUAAAGAGCUCGUAGGCGGUUUCGUUAGUCGGGUGUGAAAACUCCAGGCUCAACCUGGAGACGCCACCCGAUACUGCGAUGACUAGAGUCCGGUAGGGGAGUGUGGAAUUCCUGGUGUGAGCGGUGAAAUGCGCAGAUAUCAGGAGGAACACCAACGGCGAAGGCAGCACUCUGGGCCAGAACUGACGCUGAGGAGCGAAAGCGUGGGUAGCGAACAGG
rnacentral:rRNA from 1 species